rnacentral:tRNA from 4 species
UUUUCUUUAGCUUAAAUCUUAGAGCGUUAGUUUGAAGCACUGAAGGUAACAGUUUGUUAGGGAGGU